rnacentral:rRNA from 1 species
UGGGGAAUAUUGGACAAUGGGCGAAAGCCUGAUCCAGCCAUGCCGCGUGUGUGAAGAAGGUCUUCGGAUUGUAAAGCACUUUAAGUUGGGAGGAAGGGCAGUAAGCGAAUACCUUGCUGUUUUGACGUUACCGACAGAAUAAGCACCGGCUAACUCUGUGCCAGCAGCCGCGGUAAUACAGAGGGUGCAAGCGUUAAUCGGAAUUACUGGGCGUAAAGCGCGCGUAGGUGGUUCGUUAAGUGGAAUGUGAAAGCCCCGGGCUCAACCUGGGAACUGCAUCCAAAACUGGCGAGCUAGAGUAGGGCAGAGGGUGGUGGAAUUUCCUGUGUAUCGGUGAAAUGCGUGGAUAUAGGAAGGAACACCAGUGGCGAAGGCGACCACCUGGGCUCAUACUGACACUGAGGUGCGAAAGCGUGGGGAGCAAACAGG